UACGAAGGGUGCAAGCGUUACUCGGAAUUAUUGGGCGUAAAGGGUGCGUAGGCGGUUUGGUAAGUCUGAUGUGAAAUCUAUGGGCUCAACUCAUAGUCUGCAUCGGAAACUGCCGGGCUUGAGUGUGGGAGAGGUGAGUGGAAUUCCUGGUGUAGCGGUGAAAUGCGUAGAUAUCAGGAGGAACACCUGUGGCGAAAGCGGCUCACUGGACCAUAACUGACGCUGAUGCACGAAAGCGUGGGGAGCAAACAGG
rnacentral:rRNA from 1 species